AUUGAACGCUGGCGGCAGGCCUAACACAUGCAAGUCGAGCGGAUGAAGGGAGCUUGCUCCUGGAUUCAGCGGCGGACGGGUGAGUAAUGCCUAGGAAUCUGCCUGAUAGUGGGGGAUAACGUCCGGAAACGGGCGCUAAUACCGCAUACGUCCUGAGGGAGAAAGUGGGGGAUCUUCGGACCUCACGCUAUCAGAUGAGCCUAGGUCGGAUUAGCUAGUUGGUGGGGUAAAGGCCUACCAAGGCGACGAUCCGUAACUGGUCUGAGAGGAUGAUCAGUCACACUGGAACUGAGACACGGUCCAGACUCCUACGGGAGGCAGCAAUGGGGAAUAUUGGACAAUGGGCGAAAGCCUGAUCCAGCCAUGCCGCGUGUGUGAAGAAGGUCUUCGGAUUGUAAAGCACUUUAAGUUGGGAGGAAGGGCAGUAAGUUAAUACCUUGCUGUUUUGACGUUACCAACAGAAUAAGCACCGGCUAACUUCGUG
rnacentral:rRNA from 1 species